CUUCCAUAUCAGAUGGUCGCUCCUGCGUUAGUGGGGGAGGAAAGUCCGAACACUCCCGAGCAUCAGCAAUGGUGCUUGGAGUAGGGUAGCGGGUAACGCCCGUCGAAAGUAAUUUCAGAGGUGCGAGCAGUGACGCCGAUGCCGAAAGGCUAGGAUUCCUUCGGGAAUAUGUUCGUCGAAAGGCGAAAGUGAAACGGCUAAAUCCUUACCUGGGUGCAAGGCCGUGCCGAGCACCAGCAAUGGUGCUCGGAGUGCCGCUCGAGGGUGCGAGUAAUCGCACUCCCAGAUAAAUGACCAUCAUCGAGCAUCAGUAAUGGUGCUUGGUACAGAAUUCGGCUUAUAGAUAUGGUAUAUGA
rnacentral:RNase_P_RNA from 1 species